rnacentral:ncRNA from 1 species
AAUAAGUUUUAUUCUUGCUUGUUUGGUAGUUUGCAUUAAUUUUGUUUUACAUGUAAAUUUUAGUGUUGAUGGAGUGUUGGGUUCUAGAGGGAUUAAAAUAUUACAGUGGAUUAAUAAAGUGGCAGUAUUUGGUUUUAUAAAUCGAAGUGAUUUGGAUUUAGUAUAUGUUUGUUAGUUUCGGUUAAAGUCGUGCCAGCCACCGCGGUUAUACGAAAGAUACAAGUGAACGUUAUUAGUAAAUAGUUAUAUAAAUAUAAUUCCAAGAGAAAUUAAAUAUGGGUUUAAUUAAGUGAAAUUUUUAAUUUAUAAAAAUUUCUUGGGUUAUUUAGAAUUGAAGCUAUGAAAUUUGAAAUUUAAACUAGGAUUAGAUACCCUAUUAUUUUAAAUGUAGAAAGAUAAUUUGAUCUACUUGAGUAUUAAUAGGUAUGAUCUUGAAACUCAAAGAAUUUGGCGGUAUUUUAGUCUUUUCAGAGGAACUUGCCCCGUAAUCGAUAAUCCUCGUUUUAUCUUACUUAAUUUUGUAUUCAGUUUGUAUACCGCCGUCGUCAGAAUAUCUUUUUAGAGUAAAAAUUUUCUUGAUUUUAAAUUAAAGAGGAUGUCAGGUCAAGGUGCAGUUUAUAGUUAAGUGGAGGUGAGUUACAAUAAUAAUUAUUUAAAACGGAUGAGAAUUUUAAAGUUAGUGAUUGGAAGGUGGAUUUGAUAGUAAAUUGUAAUAGUAAGUUAAAUUGAUUUUAGCUCUAAAAUGUGCACACAUCGCCCGUCGCUCUCGUUAUUUAAGGCGAGAUAAGUCGUAACAUAGUAGGCGUACCGGAAGGUGCUUCUAGAGAUUU